AGCGAACGCUGGCGGCAGGCUUAACACAUGCAAGUCGAGCGGGCGUAGCAAUACGUCAGCGGCAGACGGGUGAGUAACGCGUGGGAACAUACCUUUGGUUCGGAACAACACAGGGAAACUUGUGCUAAUACCGGAUAAGCCCUUACGGGGAAAGAUUUAUCGCCGAAAGAUUGGCCCGCGUCUGAUUAAGCUAGUUGGUGAGGUAAUGGCUCACCAAGGCGACGAUCAGUAGCUGGUCUGAGAGGAUGAUCAG
rnacentral:rRNA from 1 species